UACGUAGGGGGCAAGCGUUAUCCGGAUUUACUGGGUGUAAAGGGAGCGUAGACGGCAAUACAAGUCGGAAGUGAAAUACCCGGGCUCAACCUGGGAACUGCUUUGGAAACUGUAUGGCUGGAGUGCUGGAGAGGUAAGUGGAAUUCCUAGUGUAGCGGUGAAAUGCGUAGAUAUUAGGAGGAACACCAGUGGCGAAGGCGAUUUGCUGGGCCAUUACUGACGCUCAUGCACGAAAGCGUGGGGAGCAAAUAGG
rnacentral:rRNA from 1 species